UGGCUCAGUUGGUAGAGCAUGGUGUUUGAAAAUCCAGGUUUGUGGGUUUGAUUCCCAU
rnacentral:tRNA from 1 species